rnacentral:rRNA from 1 species
UACGUAGGGUGCAAGCGUUAAUCGGAAUUACUGGGCGUAAAGCGUGCGCAGGCGGUUGUGCAAGACCGAUGUGAAAUCCCCGGGCUUAACCUGGGAAUGGCAUUGGUGACUGCACGGCUAGAGUGUGUCAGAGGGGGGGUAGAAUUCCACGUGUAGCAGUGAAAUGCGUAGAGAUGUGGAGGAACACCGAUGGCGAAGGCAGCCCCCCUGGGUCAAGAUUGACGCUCAUGCACGAAAGCGUGGGGGAGCAAACAGG